ensembl:lncRNA
AAAAAUAAUGCCCCCUGGUAAUGAUAAUAUUUCCUGCUCAGAUUGGUCUCACGAUAAUAGGUCUGCUCCAGUGGUGUUUGCAGAGUUAUGUACAGGACUCUGGUAUUACAUUACAGCUGCUGCCUGGUUAUACAUCCGUGUGAAUAGGAGGAAAUAAAUACACGUGAAGAAAUACCAGAAGGACCAAAAAAUGGGGCCCAACAUUGGCAAUUUCUUGUUUGGGUCUUGGGGUGGGUGAAGCAUUGGCACUUGGACCUGACCAACCAUGGAAGCAUCUCGUCUCGAUCUGAGAGGAGGGAAGAAAUGCAACCUCUGGAGCAUGCCCAGGCUCUGGGCCCUGGGAACUUGGCAGGCUGCUGGAGAGGUCAGAAAGAGCCUGGGGCAGAAAGCUUCACUCUGAGAUGGAAGUGAAUGUGGAUGAGGAAUUCUAGAUGAGGGCACAUAUGAGUUUCGGACAAAUAAAAGGAUGGAAGAUGGAGCCAGGAUAUUAUCUGACUGCAUGGGGUCGGUCUGUGAAGGGCAAAUCAGCCCAUGCCCCAGCAUCCUCCCAUUGCACAGAAAACCCAAGAUCUUUGAGGAGGGACACUGAGUGUUUGAGGAAGGAAAGAGAAAAAACAAACAAGCAAACAACAUUAGAUGGGAUAUUAUCCACUGACUGCUAUUUCAUUUCUCUGGAGAAAUGUACAAUGUGAUCAUUAAAUCCUCAAGGG